UGUGUGGGUGUGUGAGUGUGUGUGUUUGUGUGUGAAUGCUUGUGUGUGUGUGUGUGUGUGUGUGUGUGUGUGUGUGUGUGUGUGCGUGUAUUAGCGUACCUUGGAAACAUCAGCAGUGGAGUAGUAUGCUGACACAGAGCAAUCCUCCUGCUCUGGGGUUGGUC